rnacentral:lncRNA from 1 species
AGCCGGUCAGGGGUAGCGCAGAAAAAUACACAAUUUUCCACUUUGUACUAAUCAAGAACUCAUUAUCCUUCAUUAUGCCUUUUCAAGUUGUUGUACCCCGACGACCACGCCGUCGCAUGGUCGCAGGGAGUGCAAUUGCAAUGCGGAGACAUGACCCUUGGACUCCCUCAGCCCACUCUACCACCGUUCAUAUCCUUACUUAUCCUGCUGUUCCUUUUGGCGCUCUACGGGAGCCAUCAUUCAUGCGGUGUUGCUGCUGCU